CAUGCAUUUCGGCCUCCUACGUAAGGAUGGCUCGUCGUCUGUGAUGUCGCUCGUUGCCAAGGGGUUGAUUUUAAGAAUGCAGCAUCAGUCACUUUCUCCAAAAAGCCUGGACUCCUGUUGUUUGGAAAGAACAUUAGAGAACACAAACUCCGUACUCUUGGGCUGACACUGCUUUUAGGUGCUUUUGGUGAACAGAGGUUAUAUUGCACAUCCUGACUGAGAAAGAAAACAAUCUGAGUAACCAAUUUCAAUAUACAGAUUAAAAGGCAUUGGAGGUCUCUGAAUCUAAUAAGGUCUGUUUCAUUUUAUUUAAAAAAGAUUUUU